CGAUAUGCUUUGGGGAGCUGUAAGUAAGCUUUGAUCCAGAGAUUUCCGAAUGGGGAAACCCAGCAUGAGUUAUGUCAUGUUAUCGAUAUGUGAAUACAUAGCAUAUCAGAAGGCACACCCGGAGAACUGAAACAUCUUAGUACCCGGAGGAAGAGAAAGAAAAUUCGAUUCCCUUAGUAGCGGCGAGCGAAACGGGAAGAGCCCAAACCAACAAGCUUGCUUGUUGGGGUUGUAGGACACUCUAUACGGAGUUACAAAGGACGACAUUAGACGAAUCAUCUGGAAAGAUGAAUCAAAGAAGGUAAUAAUCCUGUAGUCGAAAAUGUUGUCUCUCUUGAGUGGAUCCUGAGUACGACGGAGCACGUGAAAUUCCGUCGGAAUCUGGGAGGACCAUCUCCUAAGGCUAAAUACUCUCUAGUGACCGAUAGUGAACCAGUACCGUGAGGGAAAGGUGAAAAGCACCCCGGAAGGGGAGUGAAAUAGAACCUGAAACCGUGUGCUUACAAGUAGUCAGAGCCCGUUAAUGGGUGAUGGCGUGCCUUUUGUAGAAUGAACCGGCGAGUUACGAUUUGAUGCAAGGUUAAGCAGUAAAUGUGGAGCCGUAGCGAAAGCGAGUCUGAAUAGGGCGUUUAGUAUUUGGUCGUAGACCCGAAACCAGGUGAUCUACCCUUGGUCAGGUUGAAGUUCAGGUAACACUGAAUGGAGGACCGAACCGACUUACGUUGAAAAGUGAGCGGAUGAACUGAGGGUAGCGGAGAAAUUCCAAUCGAACCUGGAGAUAGCUGGUUCUCUCCGAAAUAGCUUUAGGGCUAGCCUCAAGUGAUGAUUAUUGGAGGUAGAGCACUGUUUGGACGAGGGGCCCCUCUCGGGUUACCGAAUUCAGACAAACUCCGAAUGCCAAUUAAUUUAACUUGGGAGUCAGAACAUGGGUGAUAAGGUCCAUGUUCGAAAGGGAAACAGCCCAGACCACCAGCUAAGGUCCCAAAAUAUAUGUUAAGUGGAAAAGGAUGUGGCGUUGCCCAGACAACUAGGAUGUUGGCUUAGAAGCAGCCAUCAUUUAAAGAGUGCGUAAUAGCUCACUAGUCGAGUGACACUGCGCCGAAAAUGUACCGGGGCUAAACAUAUUACCGAAGCUGUGGAUUGUCCUUUGGACAAUGGUAGGAGAGCGUUCUAAGGGCGUUGAAGCAUGAUCGUAAGGACAUGUGGAGCGCUUAGAAGUGAGAAUGCCGGUGUGAGUAGCGAAAGACGGGUGAGAAUCCCGUCCACCGAUUGACUAAGGUUUCCAGAGGAAGGCUCGUCCGCUCUGGGUUAGUCGGGUCCUAAGCUGAGGCCGACAGGCGUAGGCGAUGGAUAACAGGUUGAUAUUCCUGUACCACCUAUAAUCGUUUUAAUCGAUGGGGGGACGCAGUAGGAUAGGCGAAGCGUGCGAUUGGAUUGCACGUCUAAGCAGUAAGGCUGAGUAUUAGGCAAAUCCGGUACUCGUUAAGGCUGAGCUGUGAUGGGGAGAAGACAUUGUGUCUUCGAGUCGUUGAUUUCACACUGCCGAGAAAAGCCUCUAGAUAGAAAAUAGGUGCCCGUACCGCAAACCGACACAGGUAGUCAAGAUGAGAAUUCUAAGGUGAGCGAGCGAACUCUCGUUAAGGAACUCGGCAAAAUGACCCCGUAACUUCGGGAGAAGGGGUGCUCUUUAGGGUUAACGCCCAGAAGAGCCGCAGUGAAUAGGCCCAAGCGACUGUUUAUCAAAAACACAGGUCUCUGCUAAACCGUAAGGUGAUGUAUAGGGGCUGACGCCUGCCCGGUGCUGGAAGGUUAAGAGGAGUGGUUAGCUUCUGCGAAGCUACGAAUCGAAGCCCCAGUAAACGGCGGCCGUAACUAUAACGGUCCUAAGGUAGCGAAAUUCCUUGUCGGGUAAGUUCCGACCCGCACGAAAGGCGUAACGAUUUGGGCACUGUCUCAACGAGAGACUCGGUGAAAUCAUAGUACCUGUGAAGAUGCAGGUUACCCGCGACAGGACGGAAAGACCCCGUGGAGCUUUACUGUAGCCUGAUAUUGAAAUUCGGCACAGCUUGUACAGGAUAGGUAGGAGCCUUUGAAACGUGAGCGCUAGCUUACGUGGAGGCGCUGGUGGGAUACUACCCUAGCUGUGUUGGCUUUCUAACCCGCACCACUUAUCGUGGUGGGAGACAGUGUCAGGCGGGCAGUUUGACUGGGGCGGUCGCCUCCUAAAAGGUAACGGAGGCGCUCAAAGGUUCCCUCAGAAUGGUUGGAAAUCAUUCAUAGAGUGUAAAGGCAUAAGGGAGCUUGACUGCGAGACCUACAAGUCGAGCAGGGUCGAAAGACGGACUUAGUGAUCCGGUGGUUCCGCAUGGAAGGGCCAUCGCUCAACGGAUAAAAGCUACCCCGGGGAUAACAGGCUUAUCUCCCCCAAGAGUUCACAUCGACGGGGAGGUUUGGCACCUCGAUGUCGGCUCAUCGCAUCCUGGGGCUGUAGUCGGUCCCAAGGGUUGGGCUGUUCGCCCAUUAAAGCGGUACGCGAGCUGGGUUCAGAACGUCGUGAGACAGUUCGGUCCCUAUCCGUCGUGGGCGUAGGAAAUUUGAGAGGAGCUGUCCUUAGUACGAGAGGACCGGGAUGGACAUACCUCUGGUGUACCAGUUGUCGUGCCAACGGCAUAGCUGGGUAGCUAUGUGUGGACGGGAUAAGUGCUGAAAGCAUCUAAGCAUGAAGCCCCCCUCAAGAUGAGAUUUCCCAACUUCGGUUAUAAGAUCCCUCAAAGAUGAUGAGGUUAAUAGGUUCGAGGUGGAAGCAUGGUGACAUGUGGAGCUGACGAAUACUAAUCGAUCGAAGACUUAAUCAA
rnacentral:rRNA from 1 species